ensembl:lncRNA
AUAUCUUUAAUCCACAACUGAACCAACACUGUCAAUAUUGUGGUGACAUUUGGAUGAUGUCUGUAGAAGGCUGACAUUAUGAUGAUCCACAAUAACAGAGAGACAAAGUCACUCUACUCAUUUUAGAGGAAACAUCAUUGAUUAGGACAUAUCUGAUUGAUUAUUAAUGAUUUGAUCUACAUGGUUUAUUCUUUAUUCAGAUUGAACAACUGUCGUUUGUCAGAGAUCAGCUGUGAUUCUCUGGUCUCAGCUCUGAAGUCCAACCCCUCCCAUCUGACAGAACUGGACCUGAGUGAAAACAACCUGCAGGAUUCAGCAGUGAAGCAGUUGUCUGAUCUUGUGAAGAGUCCAGACUAUAAACUGGAGAAACUGAGGUGGAAGGAUUAAAGUGAAUUGUCAGUGCUGCAGUGUGAACUGCUCUGAGAACAGCUCCACUGUCAGACUCGAUGUCAAGUCCACCAUCAUCCCUGUGUGUUGGUCUGGAUCUGACAGAGGAUCAUCAGUGGAUCUGGACUGAUCUGCUGCUGCUCUGUUCUUCUACACAGUCUCUGCAGACACACUGAUAAACAUCUAUUCAUUCUCCUCCACCCUCCACCUCCACCUGGAUUUUAUUCAGUCUUUAUUUUCUUCAUUCAGAUAUUCUGAAGCUGCACCAACUGUAGUCGACUGUAUUUAUCAACCAGUAGAUUUCUGAUGUUGUAGCUCACAACACAUGAUCACAGCAGCUGAAGCCUGAUGGAAAGAAACAUCAGGUUCUACAGUGAUUUAUUAUGGACAUGAAUUUAUGGACCUUUAUAUCACAUUUAAGCUUCAUUUAACAAUAGUUGCUAGGAACAUUAACAUUAAUUGACUUGAUCUGGACCCAUCAACAGGACCAGAGUCCUGAUUUGUUGGAGGAACCAGUGAGAGACUCUGAUUUGUUUCAUGAUCCAUCCACACGUGGACUCAGAUAAGCAGCAGAAAAUGUAAACAUGGAUAAUUCAUAAAGAAAACAUUUGUUAAUUAAGGUUUUUGUUCAUUAUGAGUCUCUGAGCUUCUUAACUUCUAAUGUUUCUGUCUACAGGACGAAAAAGAUGAAACAUCUUUGUUAAUGAAACUGAAGACUUUGUAAAACCUUCUUAGGCUUUUAUUUUGAAGGAAGUGAAUUCACUGUUGUUAAUAUUUGUAGAAACUCUGUUAAUAGUUCACUAAUAAUGAUCCAAUAAUCAUUGACAGGGUUCAUUCUCCAUCAUGAUACUUUUACUGUUGAUGCUUUAAAUAAAUUUUCUUCCAAUAAACAUAAAGUUGGACUUUUACUUGUAACAGAUUCUGUUUUCUUGUUGUAAUGCUCCUUUAACUCUAGUUAACAUCUGAAUUCUUCUUCCAUCACUGUCCAUACAUUGAUCUGUGAGUCUGUACGUUACUACAUGUUACUUCCUGUGUUACUUCAUGACUUCAUACGUUAGUUCUCAGCAGGGACGUCAACAACUACUUCACUUUGACUUGAAGUUUAGUUUUUAACAGUCACAUUUCCAGAAAAUCAGACGUCACUUAUCUGCUUCUCUGAUCAUCUGACUGUGAGCUGAAGUUUUUGGACUCAUAGUGGAUCAUCAGGUCUGACUUGUUUCCUGACUCAACUAAAG